rnacentral:rRNA from 1 species
CCCAGACUCCUACGGGAGGCAGCAGUGGGGAAUAUUGCACAAUGGGGGAAACCCUGAUGCAGCGACGCCGCGUGAGUGAAGAAGUAUUUCGGUAUGUAAAGCUCUAUCAGCAGGGAAGAAAAUGACGGUACCUGAUUAAGAAGCCCCGGCUAACUACGUGCCAGCAGCCGCGGUAAUACGUAGGGGGCAAGCGUUAUCCGGAUUUACUGGGUGUAAAGGGAGCGUAGACGGUGAUGCAAGUCAGAAGUGAAAGCCCGGGGCUCAACUCCGGGACUGCUUUUGAAACUGUGUGACUGGAGUGCAGGAGAGGUAAGCGGAAUUCCUGGUGUAGCGGUGAAAUGUGUAGAUAUCAGGAGGAACACCAGUGGCGAAGGCGGCUUACUGGACUGUAACUGACGUUGAGGCUCGAAAGCGUGGGGAGCAAACAGGAUUAGAUCCCCCGGUA